rnacentral:rRNA from 1 species
CCUACGGGAGGCAGCAGUGAGGAAUAUUGGUCAAUGGACGAGAGUCUGAACCAGCCAAGUAGCGUGAAGGAUGACUGCCCUAUGGGUUGUAAACUUCUUUUAUAUGGGAAUAAAAUGUUCCACGUGUGGGAUUUUGUAUGUACCAUAUGAAUAAGGAUCGGCUAACUCCGUGCCAGCAGCCGCGGUAAUACGGAGGAUCCGAGCGUUAUCCGGAUUUAUUGGGUUUAAAGGGAGCGUAGGUGGAUUGUUAAGUCAGUUGUGAAAGUUUGCGGCUCAACCGUAAAAUUGCAGUUGAAACUGGCAGUCUUGAGUACAGUAGAGGUGGGCAGAAUUCGUGGUGUAGCGGUGAAAUGCUUAGAUAUCACGAAGAACUCCGAUUGCGAAGGCAGUUCACUGGACUGCAACUGACACUGAGGCUCGAAAGUGUGGGUAUCAAACAGGAUUAGAUACCCGUGUAGUC